AACAUCGCGCACCUGCGGGAACCUGCGGAGGGAUCAUUACCGAGUGAGGGCCCUCUGGGUCCAACCUCCCACCCGUGUUUAUCGUACCUUGUUGCUUCGGCGGGCCCGCCGCAAGGCCGCCGGGGGGCGUCUGUCCCCGGGCCCGCGCCCGCCGAAGACACCUGUGAACGCUGUAUGAAGAUUGCAGUCUGAGUGAAAAGCUAAAUCGUUAAAACUUUUAACAAUGGAUCUCAGAUCGGA
rnacentral:misc_RNA from 1 species